rnacentral:rRNA from 1 species
ACGCUCGACACCUACGGGAGGUAGCAGUGGGGAAUAUUGCACAAUGGGGGAAACCCUGAUGCAGCGACGCCGCGUGGAGGAAGAAGGUCUUCGGAUUGUAAACUCCUGUUGUUGGGGAAAAAGAGGAUGGUACCCAACAAGGAAGUGACGGCUAACUACGUGCCAGCACGCCGGACGGUAAUCUGAGGCGGGCUGGACAAGGC